rnacentral:rRNA from 1 species
GACGAACCGUGCGAACGUUAUUCGGAAUCACUGGGCUUAAAGCGCGUGUAGGCGGGACGGCACGUCGGUCGCUGAAAUCCCCCGGCUUAACCGGGGAACGGGCGUCGAUACGACCGUCCUGGAGGGGCGUAGGGGGACCUGGAACUUCCGGUGGAGCGGUGAAAUGCGUUGAGAUCGGAAGGAACACCAGUGGCGAAGGCGGCUACCUGGACAAAUACUGACGCUGAGGCGCGAGAGCGUGGGGAGCAAACAGG